AAUGAAAAAAAAAAAAAAAAAUUUGAAAAAAUUCAAAAAUUUUAGGUCACUGUAACUUUUUUCCCCAAGUUUUUUUUUUUUUUUUUU
rnacentral:ribozyme from 1 species